rnacentral:rRNA from 1 species
CAAAACCAAAGCUGGCGACCGGCGCACGGGUGAGUAACACGUAUCCAACCUGCCUCAUACUCGGGGAUAGCCUUUCGAAAGAAAGAUUAAUAUCCGAUAGCAUAUAUUUCCCGCAUGGGUUUUAUAUUAAAGAAAUUCGGUAUGAGAUGGGGAUGCGUUCCAUUAGUUUGUUGGGGGGUAACGGCCCACCAAGACUACGAUGGAUAGGGGUUCUGAGAGGAAGGUCCCCCACAUUGGAACUGAGACACGGUCCAA